rnacentral:lncRNA from 1 species
UGUACAUGUGACGAUGGAGUCCUUGCUUAAUGAUAAAGACCUCACAAAAACAAUAAAGGAUCUUGUCCGUGGGAGUGGAAGAUUUUACCCUCAGAAGGAUCUGGAAUCAGGUCAGGCAAAGCUGCAGCUAGGGAGUGAGCACCCUUCACAAACACAGAAAAAUGGACUCUCCAACAAAUAAGCUGUGGCAUUUGUAUGACUAUAAAACAAUUUCUGUCUUUUAGAUGCUCAGGUCAAAGACGAAACAAAUAAAUCCUCCAUGGCCUAGUCCGCCAUGCCGUUCAAUAGCUUGUCUUGCUUCAUAAUUAAACAGGAUUUGAAGCUAUAUUUCAUUAAAGAAAUAAAAGAAUCAUUGUACGGUACUCUUUCGAUUUUCUUCAAGUGUCAAAAUUUGGUCAAAGAUCAAGCCCUUUACUUGGUGUUACAUAUUUGUAUAGGAUAUAUCUUUAAUCUUCCAUACUUUUAAAGGAGCCCCCAGACUUCAGGAAACUUUUAAUUUACAUUAAAAUACAAAUUAUUGAGCAUUAGAUUUAGAUUUUAGAUGAUUCAUGUACCCAAUCUAAGUAAUUUAAGAUAUAGGUAUGUGAUAUAAGACUGUUGAGCUGGUAAUUCAGUUGUAACUGUCAUUCAGAUUGUGUUGUAUUAGCAUAUAAGGACUUCUCUUCUCUCUUCUUAAUUGAAUAGAUACAGUAUUGUGUAAUUUAGAAUAGUUAGUUACACAGUUCCUGCCUAAUUGAAUAGAUACAGUAUUGUGUUGUAUUAGCAUUUAAGGAUCUCUAUUGCAAUGGUUACAGACAUGGAUUGAAAUAAUGACUUCUCUUCUCUCUUCUUAAUAUUUUUCUCUCAAGCUAAACAUUCAAAAUUUCCUGUUUUAGCCACCAUCUUCUUCCAACUGCUAUUCCUAGAUUAACUCCACUUUGAUUAUUGACGCCACUGUUUGUGCAUCAAUUGAUAUCAGAGCAGCAAUCAUCGGCAUGACUUGUGACCAGAAGCAAGAAUUACGAAAGGCCCAUUGAAGAUGUGGAUGUUAAUUUUUUGCACAUUCAGAUCAAUUGUAGAAAUUGAUGGAAGGUAUGACCAGUGGCAGAUCCAUAAUUUUAAGCUUGUGGGUGUUUGAUGUUGACACUCAAUUUUGUCGAUCCACAAUAUAGAUUAAUC